GGUCGCUUAGCUCAGUUGGUUAGAGCGUGGUGCUAAUAAGAGUUAACGCCAAGGUCGCGAGUUCGACCCUCGUAGUGACCA
rfam:Phialocephala scopiformis strain CBS 120377 unplaced genomic scaffold LY89scaffold_13, whole genome shotgun sequence.